ACGCAUUUCAUUUCACCUCUCUCACAUUAUUCUUCCGUUUCUUUUCUCACCCCUUUUUCAUUCGGAUCCUUCUCCUUCUCUGAAGCUCCAUAACAAAAAAAACAUAUGACUAAGAUUCACUAGAGCAGAGUCGUGCGAGAGAGAGAGAGAGGGUCCAGCCGAAGAGAUGAGUUCGUGCGGCACUGGGUGAGACAGCGGAUCUGGUGCGAUGAAGAUGGCGUUGCUGUGAGAAGUCUGCAGAGAGGGUGAGAAACGUGAAAGACAUAAAUCAAAUUGGAAAUUGGAGAGUUCCUAUGGUUUUUUGUUUCGGACGGUGCGUUUUGUUUUCCCCCAAUCUCUGCAAUGUCCCUUCUCUUCAUUUUUCUCACUGAUUUCACUUUGUUGAAUUGGAUUCCGCUCUAUUUCAACUCAAGUGGGUAUGAUCAAUUUCCUUCUUUUCUGAAAGCUGCAAAGUCAUUUCAACCAAUGCCCCCUAUAACAUCGCCGGAUACCGUUAACGAUUUCGCCAGUUAUUCCACUGCAAUUGGGAAUCACUCUAAGAACCAACACAGUAUGUUAUGUCGCUUAUGUUACGGGCACCACUGCUUCCGCCUUUGAUUUUUUGCUCCUCCACUGUUGUGCGCCUUGGCUGGGUUCAUCUGUGUGUUAGCAAAGCCAAGCUCGCCUAGGUCUGACAAUGACCGGAAGUGGAAGGAGUAAGUGUGUUCUGUGACAGCAACGCAAGAGGUAUCACCACAGCUUUUCCUGUUAAGUGCCUCUUCUGUAAGGUUUGUUGUUGCAGACCAAGCUUCCUUUACAGUUUACAUUUCUGAUGGCAUCCAUUGCUUCUUGAUUUGUCAUUACCUUGAAUAAUUUAAUAUACAGAUGUAAGAAGUGCAAAAAUAUGGUCCAUAAGGUGUGUGCAUAGUUCAUUAUUUGUCAAAUCUUACCUUCCAUAACCCAUCACUGGCUAAUAUAACAAACUCUGCAUCAUCAUCUAUCAGCUCCACUACUAUAUAUAUGGUUCUGAGCUCAAGUGUUUCUUUAGGCUCAAGUGUUUUGAGCUCAGUUUCAACAUAUGCUCUCUUCACUACAUCUCCAAGUUCAGUCCAAGAGUCAGGCUACAUUAUGAAAAAAGAAAGGUACUAAUACCUGAGGUAUAGUUUUCUGCAUUAUUAAUUCAUCUUCACUUCAAUACUUUUUCCUGCAAGCAACACACUCAUGUCAAAAGAAGUUUCACAGAUGAAAACUCAACAAACACCGACAAUUUAUCCACCCAUGUUAGCUUCGGGACUAUUUAAGCAAGGUACUAAUAGCUAUACCCAUAUUUGUUGUUAUUAUAGUUUCAAUUUUCUAAUUGCCAUUUUCAAAUUUUGGAAAGUAUGAAAAAGUAUAAGUUGAAAUUGUCUAACACUGUUCUGUCAUCUUCUAUGUCUCUGUAGCAUUUUGAUUAACUACAAUUGAAUCACUUUUGUCGGUCCGGGGUUGACCAAGUUCAAGUCAUGGCUAUUUGGGCUUACGGUUUAUUUGGUGUUGAACUAUUCUCAUUGUAGUGUGGUUCUAAAUAUGUCUCAGAUUUUUUUAUAAUGGCAAAGCUGUGAAGUUCUAAAUAUCUUUCUCUAUUAAUUAUAUUCCCUUUCAGCUAUAUUUAAAGACUUGAUAGUAUCAUUUUCAUUUUUAUCUUAUUCUAGGAAACUCAGUCGAGAAAGUGACUUUGAAUCUGCUACAGAGACAAGCCAGCAGUCGCCAUUGUCAUGAAAGAAAAGAAAAGGGAUGCUUCUAAGACUCAAACUUUCAAUCAAAUAGAGGUACUCAAACUUUCAAUCAAGAAUGGGAAGAACAUGUGAAUUUCGCCUCUGCAUUGGCUAGCAAUUCAUUCCAAGAAUAGCUUCCUUCAACUACUCUCAGAACCGAGGGAAGUGGAACUAUUAUGCUCAAAACUACCAGCAAUCCAAUAGCACUUUCUCAUGAUGGUGCAAAUACUAAAGGGUUCUAAGUUUGAUAACAUUUCCUUGCUUUUUUCUGUCCCUCUUUUCUUUUUAAGUUGGGAGCUAGGUCUAUGUAAAUCACAUUCCUUUUUCAUUGCAAAUGAAUUGCACCCGAUGCAGAUUUCAGUUUGGAUUUCUAUUUGUUAGUUAGCUUAUGAAGGAAAUAUUCUUUGUCAUUUGUAUAUUUAUUUUCUAGCCAAUUUUGCAUAUUUC